UCCUCUGUGGCGCAAUUGGCUAGCGCGUCUGACUGUUACUUCUACCCUUGCCUACCUACCUUCCGGAUAGGUAGUGAGUGUGAUGAGAGCAAUCAGGAGGUCGGAAGUCCGAGCCUCCCCGGAGGAG